UCCACUAGUCUGCUAGUCUGGACUGAUAUGGUUAGCUUUUUUUUUUUUGAGAUGGAGUCUGGCUCUGUUGCCCAGGCUGGAGUACAGUGGC
rnacentral:miRNA from 1 species